rnacentral:lncRNA from 1 species
AACAGCCUCUUAAAUUAGAGAAUCCAAACUUCAAGACAUUAAUCAAGAAUUUGAGGUUUCUCACAGAGCUUUAUUUGGAUAGUGUGGACAUUUCAACUCAAAGUGCUAAAUGGUGUGAAACCACAUCUCUUGUACUUCCAAACCUGCAUGUGUUGAGUCUGUCAAGCUGUGCUUUGAAAGGUCCAUUAUGUUCUUCACUCCCAAGACUCUCUUUUCAAAACUUAUCCUUGAUUGGAACCCAAUCUCUUAUUUACCUCCCAAUUUCUUGGAAAUUUCCUCUCGUUUGGUUUCUCUCAGUUUGAGGAACUGCAAUUUGAGUGGCCAUUUCCAACUGAAAAUCUCUUAUCGCCAAAAAUGCAAAGCAUUGACAUUUCAGAUAAUGACUUUCUUAAUGGUCAGUUGCCAGAAUUUCCAGCAAACAAUGCUUUACAGAGUUUGUCGCUUUUUUAUACAAAUUUCAGUGGAAAACUACCCCAAUCAAUUGGUAAUCUCAAGUUCUUGACUAAUUUAGAUCUUGAUGGUUGCAACUUUUUUGGACCCAUUCCAUCGUCAAUUGCAAAUCUUAGUCACCUGGUCAACCUAGAUCUAGGAGGGAACAAGCUUUCUGGAUCAAUACAUUCUUCUUUAUUUACUCUUCCAUCGUUGAAGACCUUGUAUCUUGGAGAAAAUCAAUUGGUUGGGAAAAUUGAUGAGUUCCCCAAUGCAUCUUCUUCUUUGAUUGAAGUACUGUAUAUAGGCAAUAAUUAUUUAAGAGGAGCAAUCCCAAAGUCAAUUCUUCAACUUCCAAGGCUUGAAUGGAUUUAUAUCGAAAGCAAUAGCUUUAGUUCCAUGAAGCUUGACAUGUUUGUCCAAGUCAAAAACUUAAGGACUCACUGGCUAAACAAAAUAAGCUUGUUAAUUGAAAGCGACAACAGAAGUCUUACUUUUCCCCAAUUAGAGAGCCUAAGCUUAUGGUCAUGCAACCUUACUGAAUUUCCAGAAUUCAUUAAAAGGCAAGACAAGUUGGUUGACUUAGAUCUUUCUAACAAUCAUAUCCAUGGUGUUGUGCCUAAUUGGUUGUGGAAGAGCAGUCUUUCAUCCCUACACCUUCCUUUCAAUGUGAUUGAUUUUCCAAAACAGCUUCCCUUAAAUGAUUCAAACUUCUCAUUUCCAAUGUUGACAGAAUUGGAUUUGAGAUCCUGUAACAUAAGUGCGUUUCCAGAGUUCUUAAAGAGUCUAGAAAAUAUAAUAUUUCUCGACCUUUCAAAUAAUAAAAUAAGUGGUGCAAUACCAAACUGGGCGUGGAAGAAAAGUUUGCGGUAUCUGUAUCUUGCUAAUAACCAUCUCUCAUCUUUGGACCAACUUUUACCCAAUCAGAGUUCAACUUCUUCACAAACCUCCUUGACUAGACCUAUUUGCAAUUUGAGUCAACUUAGAAAUUUCAAUGCAUCUCAUAACAAUUUGAGCGGCACGAUUCCAAAUUGCUUAGGCGAAAUGAAUGAUCUCCUAUUGUUGGAUCUGCAAGGAAAUAACUUCAGUGGAAUGUUACCAAAAUUUUCAAAAGCAACCCACUUAUAUAUUCUCAAAGUUAGUGAGAAUAGAUUGGAAGGGAAGUAGCCCAGAUCAUUAGCUGAAUGCACUCAGCUUGAAGUUUUAGACGUGGGAAACAACAAGAUGAAGGAGAAAUUGCCUUACUUGACGGUUCUAAUAUUGCGGGAAAACAGAUUUUAUGGUCAAAUUAAACAUAGAUUUGUUUUCCCAACUUUGGAUGUAUUGGACAUUGCUUCAAACCAGUUUUCUGGUGAACUAUCCAUUGAUUUCCUUCAACCCACUCGACUAAGGUCACUCAAAAUAGGUGGGAAUAAAUUAGAAGGGAAGUUGUCGAGAUCAUUAGCCAAUUGUAAAGCACUUGAGGUUCUGGACCUUGGAAAUAAUAUGGUUCAUGAUACAUUCCCAUUUUGGUUAGAGAAGCUGCCUUCCUUGAAGGUUGUCAUUUUGCGAGCAAGCAGAUUCUACGGCACGAUUACAAAAUUCAACACAGAACGUGGGUUUCCAAAGCUACGCAUAUUGGACAUUGCUUCCAACAAUUUUUCAGGCGACUUGUCCAUUGAAUUUUUGCAAAGCUUGAAGGCAAUGAUGCAGUUAACAAAUGAAGACAAAGCUAAGCUGGAUUACAUUGGGGAGAAUUAUUAUCAAGAUUCAGUGACAAUUUUCAACAAAGGGAUUGAGCUGUUUUACGAGAAAAUCUUAACCACUCUUACUUGUCUUGACCUUUCCAACAAUAGUUUCCAUGGGAGAAUACCAGAAGAAAUACAAAUGCUGAGGUCACUCAAAGUGCUAAACUUGUCCUAUAAUAGCUUCUCCGGUGAAAUCCCAGUAGCAGUUCAAAACCUAAAAGAUCUGGAGUCUUUGGAUCUGUCACAGAAUGAGCUAUCAGGGAAGAUUCCUCCACAGCUUGCAACAACUUUCCUAGAGGCACUGAACUUGUCUUACAACCCACUUGAAGGGAGCAUACCGCAAGGCAACCAAUUCAGUACAUUUUCAAAUGAUUCUUAUCGUGGGAAUCCAAAAUUAUACGGUCAACCAUUGUCCAAGAAAUGCAAUGAAGACGGUCUUCCAGUGCCACCGCCUCCAGGGGAAGAGGAACAGUCAUGGUUAUAUGCUAUGUCAACUUGGAAAAUUGUUUUGAUAGGUUAUGGUAGUGGUAUGGUCGCUGGGCUAUGUAUCGGAUAUACAGUGUUGAAUGAGUUGGGAAACAAAUGGGUUGACAAGUUCAAAAAACAUGGGAAAAGAAACAGAAGAAGAUCUAGGUGAUUGUGUCGGAAUUCAUGUAUUAAAGUCAACAGGUAAACAUUUCCUUUUGAAACUAUAGUCUUUAUAUUUUGAAACGAUUGAUGUUACAAACUAAUUUUGGAUCAUACAACACUGCAAUUCCUUAAUUUAAGUAGCAGGAGUGGUUACACAGUGAUUUUGUUUUUCCUAUGCAAUAUUCCUAUAUUUGCAUGCUUAUGAGAAGUUAUAUUCUUGGUGGUUUGACUUGUGUUUCUUAUUUUGUCACAGGGAAAUGACCUCUGUCCUUCUAAGCUUCAAGUCAUUGCAUGUAAUUGGUGGCAAUGAAUCAUUUCAAGUAGAAAACCACGCAAAGUAUGAUAAAUUUUGUCUUUUUUGUUUGGGUUUUUGUGCUAUAUAUUUUAUCAAACACAUGAUGGGCUUUAGGCUCGGGUGUAAUGGGUAGACCUAUUGGUCCGGGUUUUAGUGCAAUCUGACAUUUAUUUUGUACAAAUAAUUUAUUUAUCUUUUAAUAACAGUUUUAUUAUUUUAAAAAUAAGUAAAUAAAAUAUAAUGAAAAAUUAGAUAUCUUAAAAGAUGUCCGUUUCCGGAGUUGGCAAACUAUGUAAAACACUAUAAAUAUGAUAGCUUAUUCAAAUGAUUCUCCCAUUAUGAAACAUUUAAACGAAUUUACAAAAAUGAAAUAUUUAUUUACAAGAAAUAAAAAUUAGCCAUGUUAUGCAUAUGAAAAACAUAAUAAUUGCAAGUGAAAUGAGAAGCUUCAUAUUCUAAUUUUCAGGCCAACAGUCUGAGAAGAAAGCAUAGAUUGGUAGAAGAAAGCAUAUGGUGAAAAGGGUAAUCCCAAAACCGAUUUGCUGCACUCGAGGUUCUCUUACAUGUAGUUUGUAUCAUACGUGGAUGGUUGGAUCUUAUUAUAUUAGGAUUUAGUUUACCCAACUAUGAACUUCUACUUUAAACACAUUAAUCCUAUUCUAAAUUGGUGUCGAAACCAUUUUUAAAUUUGAAAAAUGGGAAUCGAUUUUGAAAAAUUGAGAUUGGAGUUGCCACCGAUCUUUUAUUGAGGUGUGAUCGGAUCACCUUGAAAAUAAUUUUAGGUCUGCGAAUUUUGAGAAAAUAGGUUCGAGAUUCGGUUACGCACGGGGAAGGGUUAGCACCCUUGUGACGCCCAAAAUUGGUACCAAAUCGAUUGUUUAAUGUACCAAAUCGAUUGUUUAAUGUCUUAGUGUCAAAAAUUUGAAACGAUUUUAAAAUACGAUCCUUUGAAAAGAAAAUUUGAAUGAAAUAAAUUGGAUGAUGAGGCUCUCUUCUUUCAAAGAAAUAAAUUGUCACACUUAGUAAGUUAGAGUGCAACAUUUUAAAUCCUAGAAAUUAAGUUCAUCUUUUGACUUUUAAAACCUAUGCAUUUUGAGAAGGAUAUCUGAUUAUUUGGGUCAAAUGAGAAAAUCAAAACCCAGUAAGUUAGGGUUCGAUUUCACAAAAUUUCUAAAUAUCGAAUAUUGCCUUUAUUUCCAUUUGUUAGAAGAAUCCUCGUCUUAAGAAAACAAUAUGUCAUAUCCAAUGCGUUAGGAUACCACGUAUCGAAUUCCCGAGAAUGAGCUUUUUAUUUAUGUUUUAGUUAAAAAGGAUAUUUGGUCUCUUAGAUCCCGAGGAAGAUUGGAAUCCUGUAAGUUAGGACACAAUCUUUUCAAGGAUCCCAAAUUCCGAGUGUUGCGUUAUUUUGAAAGCUUUUUGAAUAAAAAUGCUUUUGAUAUUUAAAUAAUAUGAAACAUAAUCUUUUGAACAAAUAAAAACAAUGAAAUAAUAACGUACACACGAAAUGGUGAUUUGUAAAUAACAUACAUUAAUGAAUAACAAAUAAUCAAUAGGUAAAUACAAAUAAACAUAGUAACAAUAAUCUCAAUCAUACAUUAUGCCAAUGCUAAUAAUAUCGACAUUCAAAGAUUAAAUGAAUUAUCAAUACAAAAAAAAAAAGUGUUAUAUGUGUAAAAUGUUAAAAUAAACAAUAUACAUAUAUGAGUUUAAAAUAAGUCAAAAAUGAAGAUAAAAAAAAUACUAUAAAAAUAAUAUCAAAAUGAAGUUUAAAAUGAAUAUUGUAUAUGAAGAAAAUCAAAGUACAUGAAAUAAUAUAUGCAUAUUAAUUUAAAUAAUAUUACAUAUGGAUUGGAAAAUUUCUUAUGAUAAUAUAAUAUAAUAGUAUGUAUAAAAGGUUGAUAUAAAUCAAGUAUAUAAUGAAAUAAAAUUUUAAAUGAAACCAGUUAUAUAUGUAAUAAGUAAAAAAUGUAAAUAUGAAAUUGACGAUACAUUAGGUAUAUACGUAUAAUAAAAAAAAAAACUUAAUACAAAUUUUAUAUAGAUAUAAUAGUAUUACAUAAAUAUGUUAUUGAUUUUUAAAGCAUAAAAGUAUAUAUGAAUAAACAUUUUAAGAAAAAAGUAUUAUAAAAAUAAACUCAUUAAUUAAAAUGUAUAAUAAUAUAGUUAACAUAAAAUAUAUACUAAUGCAUUAGAAUAGACAGUAUGUAAUAAAAUAAAAUAGUGUAUAUAUAUAUAUAUGAAAAUAAGUAAAUAUAUAAACUAAUAUGAUAAUAAUACCAAUAAUAACAACAAUAAAGAUAAUAAACUAAACAAUUUUAGCAAUAAUAACAAAACAGAGGACAAAAUUGGCAUUAAAGCAGUAAUUCAGGGGAGAAAUCUAAAAUAAAUAAAAAGAAAGGUCCAAAUUACAAAGAGCAAAUGACAUGGGGGACUGAAAGGGGAAUAUUCCCCACCCUCCAAAACGCAGCGUUGCAUAUGGACCUAGAUGAAAUCUGCAACAAAUUAUGCUACCCAAAAUUAAAGAAACUUAAAGGAUCGAGUUGGAACACAACGCGAAGUAAGAAGGACCGAGCACGCAAUUAUCCCUCUCCAUACCAAAACGCGCAGAUCUAGCCACGGUUGGAUCGGGUCAUCGGGUAUGGUCGUUAAACGGCGUCGUAUUGUUUGCUGUACAAAUUAAAAUCGAAGAAAAUCAAAUCGAAAUUCCACAAAACUAGAGGGACUCGUCGUGAAAAUAGACCAAUGAACAGAAGCACGCGGAUCCUGCCCCGAGUCGGGUCACCACGCGAUUUUGAACUUCCCAACGGCAUCGUUUUUAAAGCUACAUGGCCUGCUUAAAACGCUGUCGUUUCUUUCACCGUACAAAGGCUAAAAUAAACCUAAAACUAAUCAGCCAUCAGUCAUUUACAAAAAAAAAAAAACCUAAAGAAAAUCUAAAACCUAAGGAUUUCUCCCUGCGCCGCUCAACCUUUCAGAUCCCAUUUGCUCUGAUUACGACGAGAGAAGCAGGGAUUCGACGGUCACGUUAUGCAGGUGGACUCUCAUCCUUCCUCGAUUUCUUUUUUUUUUUAAACAAUGAAUAAAAGAAAAAAAGAAAGCAAAGAAUCGAAAAAGAAAAAAAGAUCGAGAGCCAAAAAAGAAAAUAAUACUCGAAAUCACCUUUAGAAACUGUUUUUCUAUUGCUUUUCAAAAUUUUCUCUCUGAUACACUAUUUGUGUGUGUAAUCCCCUUAUACAGAUUUCAAUCGGCCCUCUUUAUAGCCGAACCGAGAAAAAGAAAGAAAAAAAUCAAAUUUUCUCUAUUUUUUUACAUUUUUCUUCUUAUUUACUACCGGUAUUUACUGUCAAAUUGUUGCCUCUUUCUUUGCUGUUGCUAUCUAUUUUUCUUCUUGUUUGUUUGUCCUUCUUGCAGGUACGGCGUACGGAGGGUGGACGUGGCGUGCGUAGAGAGGGAGAGCAGAGAGGCGCUACUGCUACGGCUUGAUGGCUUGCUGGAGCGGCGGCUGAUAUCUCAGAAACCCUAGGGUUUCUGUUUGUGAUUUUUCUUUUGGGCUUAGGUGAUUUGGGCUGGGGUUAGGUGUUGGGCUAAUUGGGUUGGGGAUAUUGGGCUAGGCUAAUAUUUGGGUAGUGGGCCACACAGGCUAUUGUAAAUGGACUGCUAUUGGACUGUUAUUAAUUUUUGGAUUUGGUUUAUAUAUUUGUGCUUUUGGGCCCGGGCAAAUUGGCCUAUUACAAUUGGUAUUGGGAUUAGUCUAUUUAUUCUUUCAAUGAUAGUUUUAUUACUUUAAAAAAACACCCUACAAUUAAACUUUGUAUGUAAUAUGAUAAUAAUAAUUAAAAUAUAAUGAAAGAAAUUAUGUCUUACAGUCUAGUGAAGGCUAACAAUGUGUCACAUUAUCAUUACAAUGUACACAUACUUUGUAGGAAAUUUAUCCAAUGAAACAGAGGAUUAAACUAGUUUCCCAGAUGCAGGGAAGAAUUGGUAUGCUACAAUACUAAGAAAAAUACUAAUAACAAAAAAAUGGUAAUGGAAUCACCCUUGUUAUUAGGCUUAUGAAUUUCAUUGAUGGAUUCUCUUAACAUAUGGGCAAAUCUGGCGGCGGCGGUGCUAACCUCCUUUUGUAUUUUUAUUGGAUCCAGGAGGUUGGAGAGAAGGAGUAUGUGCUCCUCAUAGAGCUGCGGUGCCAUGGCUGUGCGGAAUGGUGCUGAGGAAUGUACUGCUGCAGGCGGUUAUUUGCCAGUGUCCUUGUGCAGGUAGCUGGCCAUUUGUGGAGACCACAAAAAAUAAAAAUUAGCCGUGUUUUGCACGGAUAAAAAAAAAUCAUAUUUUAGAUUUAAAUAAUUAUAUAUUCUUUAAUCUCAUUGGGUUUCAAUUGGUUUGGUAAAUUUUGAAAUAAAAAAAUAAAAAAAAAACCUUUUGGAAUUGGAAUUGGUUUGGUAAACAUUGUUUUCAUGCAGAAAGAUUUAGACAUUUGCAUGCAAUGUCAAAGGCUAAGACUAAGUCUAUGAAUAUAUUGAAAUUAAUAUGAUUAAUAAGACCAAUAAAAUCUCAUAAUUCAGAACUAUGGGGCAUUCUGGAUGGUCUUGGACCAGGUUUGACCAACGUAAAGGCUCUUCAUUCCCUUGUUUCACUUUUUCUUCCUUUCUUCUUUCUCUUCUCAUCCUCUCUUUCUCAAUCUCAUCUCCCAAGCCAACGCUUUGAUGACCAGAUAUCUCCUCUCUUGCAAUUGCAACAUCAUCUUUACUAUAAAUAUAGUAGCUUAUCCAAAUGAUUCACGAAACAUUUAAACGAAUUUAUAGAAAUUAAUACUUAUUUAAAAUAUUUACAAGAAAUAAAAAUUAGCACAUGAAGAAUAAAGAAAGGGAAAAAAAAUCCAUAUUUUAGAUUUAAUAGACUAUAUGUCCUAUUAUUGCGUUUUAAUUGGUAUGAUAAACUAUUUUCGACCAAAGGUCCAUCAAUUGAGCUGAAUUUUAUAUAUGCUGGCCUUCUCAUUGGUAAAUUUUGAAAUAUAAAAAAUAAAAAAACCUUUGGGAAUUGGAAGUAAUUCCAAUUUUGCAUGCAAAACCUUUGGGUAAAUUUUGCAUGCGGAGCCUGUUAUAGACCAUGGAGCACUGAUUGUGGGCAGUACUGGUCGAAGCAUGCAAAACUAUUGACAUUAUCCUAAACUUAUGUAAAACCAAAACUUAGAACUGAAAUUCAAUACAAAAUUUCAGUUUUCAAAAAUCAGCAGCCUAUGGCCCAGUGUAGAGGUGAUCAUGGGCCGGGCCAAGUUUGGGUCGGGAGCAGACAAAAUUUUAGGCUCAUUUUCUAGGCCCGUGUCUAGCCCAGCCCAAAAUAUGUGCCUAAAAAAUUUGUCUAAGCCUGGCCAAAAAGAAAAUUGCUAAGCCCGAGCUUAGCCCGGCUCGGCCCAUAUUAAAUUUUACAGAAACCAAUACGGUUUUGACUCGAACACCAAUGUUGAGGAAACAUGGUCAUGAUGGUGUUGGCGAGUUUAUUGAGUUUUAUGGUUAGGUCUAUGGUCAUAAAUCUUGACAAUGGAAUGCUUUACAAUCAAUAAUAUUGGUUUUAAAGUGCAUAUAGGAGAAGGUGUGACUGAUUAGGUAGAUGGCAUGUUUUUGGUGCUGAUUAGGUAGGCAACCACUUCAACCAUUAUUCCAAGUGAAGUUAGAACAAAAACAUCUGUUCAUUCUACGUGUAAUCAUGGCUCUAAUGAGGUUUAAAGGACAUUAUUAUUGCUAUAAUUUUAUUUUUUAAUGAUUUAAAUUUAAGAAAAUUAAAAUUAGAAAAUCAUUUAUAUAGAAUAAAGAGCCGACAAGAAGAUUGAAACCUGGCAUUAAUAAGAAGAAUAAGAGCUCAACAAAGUGGAUCAACAUAGUUUUCAUGCAUUAAUGAUAUGUCAACGACUAAGACUAAAGCCAAUAAUAUCUCAUAUUAUCAUUUUUUUUUAUAAGUUCAAAGUAUUAAAAUUUUCUUGUAUUAACGAUAAUGUUUAUAUAUGUUCAAUAUUCAUUAAGGAACCAAUUUUAUAUCAUUUUUGGGUCUUUUAUCAAAUUUUACUUAAAAAAAAUCAAUAGUAAACUAUUUUAUUUAAAAAAUUACCAUUAUUUCUUUUUUCUUUUAUGACCUUACUUAAUCAAAUUGGUACAUCAUCAUCAUCAUUAUUAUUAUUGGCAUGCAGUUAUAAAGACUUAGAAUUUUGCAUGCAUAUCAAAGACUUAGAAAUUUCCACUACUUGAUAUUUUAAUGACUUGAAUUAAACAAAGUGGUUGAACAUUACUCUCAUGCAGUUAGGGGCGAGUGUUUGAUCGAAUCGAAUGAAAAAAUUUCUAGUUAACCGAGUUGACAAAUUAUAUUUUAUCAUCGUAAUUUGAUUUGAAAUUUUCUGGAAUUGAGUCGAAUCAGAUGGAAUUCAUUCGAGUUAAAUUUUAAAAAAUAAUUUUGGGUCCUUAUAACUACUGUCACUCACCGUAAUAAAAUUUAUCCACCAUAAUCAAUUUUUUUAUUAACUUACAUCACCUCAUAAUUUAUAUUUUAAUCUUUUUUAUAUGGGUUAGCUUCUUUGCUUGUUUAGUUGUUUCAAUUAUCUUCAGAUUCUUGUCACUAUGUAUUUUGGAAUUAAGAAAUAUAUUAAAUGUAAAAAUGUGAAUUUUUUAAAUAAAAUUUAUAAAAUUUUAACAUAAAGAUCUUAUGGCUUCAUUAAUAAUUCAAUUUUAUGACUAAACAAAAGUAGAAUUAGGAGUUUUUUUAUUUUUUUAUUUGAGAUUUAUGGACAUUUUCUAUGUGAAAAGUUGCUACUAAAAUGUUUAAGAAAUAGGUUUUCUAGUUUCCUUCUGUUUUUUUAUUUGUUUGAGUUUGAUAUUUAAUCACUAGAAUUAAAAAUCCAAUUCUCUACUAAUAAAUCAAACAAUUGUUUGACUCUAUAAAAAAUAUUAUGGUGUAAAAUUGUUUGAUUUAAAUUAAAAAAUUAAAUAUGUCAAAUUAAAAUCUUGUUAUAGUAUAAUUAAUAUUUGAAAUCAUAAAUAUUUGAAAACUGUUUUAAAGUGAAAUAAAAAAAAAUUAUUAUAGUUUUUGCAUAAUAUAAAUUUUAGAAUUUUUAUGAAUAUUUUAACUUUAAAAAUUAUUUUAAUUUUUUUUUGUAAUUUUUGUUGAGUGAGAUUAAUUUGUUAAUUUUUAAAAUUGACAGGAAUCAAAAGAGUAUAUAUAUCAAUUUGUGUUUGAAUUAUUUGAGUUAUUUAAAUUAUAAAAUUCAACUCGAAUCUCGAAUUAUAAAUAUUUUUAAUAAUAUAAAACAUAAAAAAUAUUAAAAUUAAAUAAUAAUUAAAUAAUAAUAUAUUUCUCAGCCUCUAAGAAAGUUUGAAAGCUGAAAUUUAAAUAUGUUUCUUUUCAAAAGUGAAAAAUUGUAUAUAUUCUAUCAUCAAAAUUUUCACUCAUUGUGUCCGUCAAUUUAUAAGGUGGCUUGACUUGUACACAUUGAUUGAACGUUGUUUUUGUGCAAUAAAAACUUGGACAUUUGCAUGCAAUGCCAAAGACUUAAGACUUAAAAGGUCUAUAAUAUUUCAUACUACCAUUUUUUCUGGUCGUAAAUUAAAGAUUUUAAAAAAUUCAAAUUAAAACCAUUAUGAUUUAAAUUUAUUAUAGUUUUUACAUAAUAUAAAUUUUAGAAAUUUUAUGAAUAUUUUGAUUUUAAAAAUUAUUUAAUUAUUUUUUUGAAAACUUUUAUUGGCAGAGAUCAAUUUGUUAAUUUUUAAAAUUGACAGGGACCAAAGGAGCAGGUACACCAAUUUAUUGUUAGAAGUAUUCCACCACUUUAGUUAAGUCUUUUUGGUCAACCUUUUCCGGCAUGGGAUAAUAAUAAUAAUACUAAUAAUAAAUAAUUUAUAUGCCAAACAUGAAAACUACACAUUUGUGUAUCAAUAUGUUGUAUGCCAAGCACAAUCCUUCGUCACACCCAACAAACAUGAACACUCUUCAUUUCCUUAUUUCACUCUUCCUCUUCUCAUGCUUCCUUUCUCUUGUCUUGUCUUUUUCACCUCCUCAAACUCAUCUCCCUAAGCAAUGCCUUGAUGACCAGAGAGCUCCUCUCCUGCAAUUGCAGCAUCAUCUUUACUAUGCCCCUAAUUCUACUUUCUCUUCCAAUUUUGACCUCUGGGAUGUCAACACUGAUUGUUGUUCUUGGGAAGGAAUCACUUGUGAUGCUUAUGGUCAUGUCGUUGGCAUUGAUCUUAGUUACAAAAACCUUUCAGGCAGCUUUCACUCCAUAUUCGAUCUCCAUCAUCUUCAACACCUGAAUCUUGCUGGAAACAACUUUAAUACCACUCUGUUUUCGUAUGGGUUUGAUGAACUCCAAAAUCUAACUCAUCUCAACCUUUCAAGCUCAUGUUUCCAUGGCCAAAUUCCAGUGGAGAUCUCAUUCUUAAAAAGGUUAGUCUCUCUUGAUCUAUCCAAUCAAGGUUCUUGUUAUUUGAGAAAUGGUUACGAUUAUGAUUCAGCUACUUUAAAAUUGGAGAAACCAAACUUCAAGACAUUUAUCAAGAAUUUGAAGUUUCUCACGGAGCUUUAUUUGGAUGGUGUCGACAUUUCAACUCAAAGUACUAAAUGGUGUGAAACCACAUCUCUUGUACUUCCAAACAUGCAUGUGUUGAGUCUGUCAAGCUGUAGUUUGAAAGGUCCAUUAUGUUCUUCACUCUCAAGACUCUCCUUUCUUUCCAAACUUAUCCUUGAUGAAAACCCAACCUCUUAUUUACCUCCCAAUUUCUUGGUAAAUUCCUCUUGUUUGGUUUCUCUCAGUUUGAGGUAUUGCAAUUUGAAUGGGCAUUUUCCAACCGGAAUUCUCUUAUUGCCAAAAAUUCAAAGCAUUGACAUUUCAUUGAACCGCCAACUUAUGGGUCAGUUGCCAGAAUUUCCAGCAAACAAUGCAUUACUGAGUCUGUCACUUUAUGACACAAAUUUCAGUGGAAAACUACCUGAAUCGAUUGGUAAUCUUAAGUUCCUGACAAAUUUAGAUCUUUCUGGUUGCAAUUUUUUUGGACCCAUUCCAUCGUCAAUUGCAAAUCUUAGUCACCUGGUGAACCUAGAUCUAGGAGGGAACAAGCUUUCUGGAUCAAUACAUUCUUCUUUAUUUACUCUUCCAUCGUUGAAGAUCCUGUUUCUUGGAGACAAUCAAUUGGUUGGGAAAAUUGAUGAGUUCCCCAAUGCAUCUUCUUCUUUGAUUGAAGUACUGUAUAUAGGCAAUAAUUAUUUAAGAGGAGCAAUCCCAAAGUCAAUUCUUCAACUUCCAAGGCUUGAAUGGCUUUAUAUCGAAAGCAAUAGCUUUAGUUCCAUGAAGCUUGACAUGUCUGUCCAAGUCAACAACUUAAGGACUCUCUGGCUAAACUAUAUCAGCUUGUUAAUUGAAAGCGACAACAGAAGUCUUACUUUUCCCCAAUUAGAAAGCCUAAGCUUAAGGUCAUGCAACCUUACUGAAUUUCCAGAAUUCAUUAAAAGGCAAGACAAGUUGGUUUACUUAGAUCUUUCUAACAACCAUAUCCAUGGUUUUGUGCCCAAUUGGUUGUGGAAGAGCAGUCUUUCAUCCUUACACCUUAGACCUUUAUUUCAAUAUGAUUGAUUUUCCAAAACAAAUUCCUUUAAGUGAUGCAAACUUCUCUUUCCCAAUGUUGAGGCAAUUGAUUCUGGGAUAUUGUAACGUAAGUGCAUUUCCGGAGUUCUUAAAGAGUCAAGAAAAUUUAGAAUAUCUCAUACUUCCAAAUAACAAAAUAAGUGGUGCAAUACCAAACUGGGUGUGGAAGAAAAGUUUGCAUCAAUUGUCUCUUGCUAAUAACCAUCUCUUAUCUUUGGGCGAACUUUUACCCAAUCAGAGUUCAACUUUUUCACGAGGCUUUUUCUAUUUCGACGUAUCUUAUAACAAUUUGAGUGGCCCAAUUCCAAAUUGGUUAUGCAAUAUGAGUCAACUUCUCAGUUUCGAUGUAUUUUAUAACAAUUUGAGUGGCCCAAUUCCAAAUUGCUUGGGCGAUAUGAGUGCUCUGAGUUGGUUAGGUUUGCAAGGAAAUAACUUCAGUGGAAUGUUACCAAAAUUUUCAAAAGCAACCCAACUGCAAUUUCUGAAAGUUAGUGAGAAUAGAUUGGAAGGUAAGUUGCCCAGAUCAUUAGCUGAAUGCACUCAGCUUGAAGUUUUGGACGUGGCAAAAAACAUGAUGAAUGAUACAUUCCCUUUUUGGUUGGGGAAAUUGCCUGCGCUAAAGGUUCUCAUUUUGCGGGAAAACAGAUUUUACGGUCAAAUUAAACAUUUCAAACAUAAAUCUGUUUUCCCAACUUUGGAUGUAUUGGACAUUGCUUCAAACCAGUUUUCUGGUGAACUAUCCAUUGAUUUCCUUCAACCCACUCGACUAAGGUCACUCAAAAUAGGUGGGAAUAAAUUGGAAGGGAAGCUGUCGAGAUCAUUAGCCAAUUGCACAGCACUUGAGGUUCUGGACCUUGGAAAUAAUAUGGUUCAUGAUACAUUCCCAUUUUGGUUAGAGAAGCUACCUUCCUUGAAGGUUCUCGUUUUGCGAGCAAACAGAUUCUACGGCACAAUUUCAAAAAUUGACACGAAACGUGGGUUUCCAAAGCUACGCAUAUUGGACAUUGCUUCCAACAAUUUUUCAGGUGACUUGUCUAUUGAAUUUUUGCAGAGUUUGAAGGCAAUGGCGGAGAUGACUAAUGACGAAAAGGCUACGCUGGAUUAUAUCGGAGAGAAUUAUUAUCAAGACUCUGUGACAAUUGUUAACAGAGGGAUUGAAAUGUUCUACCAAAAAGUCUUGACAAUUCUUACUUGUCUUGACCUUUCCAACAAUAGUUUCCAUGGGAGAAUACCAGAAGAGAUACAAAUGCUGAGGUCACUCAGACUGAUGAACUUAUCCAACAAUGGCUUUUCUGGUGAAAUCCCAUUAGCACUUGAAAAUCUAAAAGAUCUUGAAUCUUUGGAUCUCUCACAGAAUGAGCUGUCAGGGAAGAUUCCUGCACAACUUACAAGUUUAAUUUUCUUAGCAGCAUUGAACUUGUCUUACAACCAACUCGAAGGGAGCAUACCACAAAGCAACCAAUUCAAUACAUUUACAAAUGAUUCCUACCGUGGGAACCCAAAAUUGUGUGGGCUGCCAUUGUCAAGGAAAUGCAAUGAAGUUGGUCUUCCAAUGCCACCACCUCCAGGGGAAAAUGAAGAUUCAUGGUUAUAUGCUCUGUGUACUUGGAAAAUUGCGUUGAUAGGUUAUGCUAGUGGAUUAGUGGUUGGGCUAUGUAUUGGAUAUACAGUGCUGAAUGAGUUGGGAAACAAAUGGGUUAACAAGUUCAAAAAGUGUGGGAUAAGAAAUAGAAGAAGAUGUAGGUGACUCCAUCAGAAUUCUUGCUUCAAAAUUAGCUGGUAAGCGUUUGUCUUUCUAAUUUGAACAGAUAGUUGUUGAUUUAUAUAUAUGGGUUUUCAUAACCUCAUUUUUUGCUGUCUUUACUAAGUUCACUAUCAUAUCGUGCUUGUAAUUUGAUGUUACCAUUGAGCAAUGCAGGAGGUACUUGAAGCAGGACAUGGAAUGUACAGUUGUGAGGUUCAUGAAGAAUGUAGGCAAUGAUCCUAACAAGAUCAAUCCACUGGUUUGUAAUUUUGCUUUAUAUGCACUUUUUUCCUUUUGUAGUUUUCCACGAGUAUAAGUAAGUGUUUAUUCAUUUUGCAUCCAGGUCCCUGUGGAUUUGGGGGAUGCAAUGUUUCACUGCUACUGAAUUUCCAUGCUAAUAAUGAUAUUAUAAACAAGGAUAUGGCUGCCCAAGCUUUCUUUUAUAUGCAAUUUACUUUUACUUCAAUUAUUUUAUCUUCGGAAUAUUUGUACAGCUGAGGAGAUUUAAUGGCAUGAUGUUGAUGGAAGCCAUAUCUGGUGGACAUUGGAUGGAUUGUGUAAAGAGACGCAGAUGCUGCUACUCCCAUCCUUUGCUCUUCCAAACAGAUAUUAGCUUUAUAUUUUAUCAAUCACGUGUUGGGCUUUAGGACCGGGUGUAAAGGGUGGACCUGUUGGUCUGGGUUUUAGUUCAGCCGGACACUUAUUUUCAUACUAGUUUGUUUAUCCUUUCAAUGAUAGUUAUAUUAAUUUCAAAAAACUUUUGAAAUUGAAAUUAAUUUUUUCAAAGAAUCGAAAAAUUGUUAAUAAUAUAAGAUAUCUUGUCAGUCUCAUUUGUCUUUGAUAAUUUCAAUUAAAUCUAUAGAAAUUUUAAUGUGAAAAUUUAAAUAAGUUUCUUUCAAAGAAAUUGCUAAGAAGAGAAAAACUGUAAACAUUUUAUCAUCAAAAUUUCCGCUACUUGUGCCCAUCAAUCCAUCUUAACUACCUAAGAAACUUGCUAAACAUUGUUUUCAUGGGGUAAAAAAGAUUUAGAUAUUUGCAUGCAGUGCCAAAAGGCUGAGACUAAGUCCAAUAAUAUCUCAUUCCAUAAAUUUCUAUUGAUUCCAUACACUUUAAGUUCAUUGAAAAGUCAUCAAAGUUAUGAGAAAAUUUAGUUUUUGAGCCAUUAAUUUAUCUCAACCAGCUAAAAAAAUUCACCACAAUUCCAUUUUUUUUUAUUAGUUGACUAAAAUAAAAUUAGUGGUACAACAUUAUUUUGAUGCAGUAGUGAUCGGGCUUAGUCCAAAAUUAAAAAUAAUGUAUGGAAAGUACUAAUUUGUGUAUAAAUAAGUUGUAUGGAAACAAUCCUCCUUCACAGCCAGCAAACAUGAAAGCCAUAUCUGAUGGACAUUGUACUGAUUGUGUAAAGAGACAACUGCUGCUGCUUCUCCCACCUUUUGCUGACACAUUGGGUUUUUAUUUUAUCAAACACAUGUUGGGUUUUGGUACAGCCUCGCACUUAUUUUGUACCAAUCGAAGUUUCGCAAAAAUUGUGUGGUCAUCAUAAUUUCCACUCCAUAUAUUCCCAUCAAUCCAUCUAAACCAGCUAACACAAAUGCUUUAUUUUUGUGUUUAUAAUGACUUGACUUAAACAAAGUGGUAAACCAUUGUUUUCAUAUGGUAAGGAUCGGGCAAAGACUUAGACAUUUGCAUGCAAUGCCAAAUCUUGAAUUUAGAGUUGAGCCCAUAAUUUGGGGUGUUGGAUUUAAUUAAACCCGUUGGUAGAUCAUAACAUAUUUAUAAGUUGGAUACUACUUAAUAAUUAGGAUUUAGGAGUACUCAUUAUUGGGUAAAAAGACUUGAACAUUAGCUUGCAUGCCAAAGAAAAAAAACCUUAAUUUCUAAAACACAUUUCAUCUUAUCCUUCAGCAAAUUAUCUCCGUCUCAUUUAUUUUUGAUGAUUUUUUAUGAGUGUUUAAUCGAAUCAAGUAAAAUUUUUUUGAGUUAACUGAACUGAUGAGUCCUAUUUAUCAUCCUAACUUGAUUUGACAUUUUUUCGAAUUGAGUCGAGUGAAAUGAAAUUCGAGUCAAAUUGAAUCGAGUGAAAUUAUUCAAGUUCAAUUAAAAAAUUAAAUAUAUCAAAUUAAAAUCUUGUUAUAGGAUAAUUAAUUUAAUGUUAGGACACAUAAAUUUAAAACUAUAUACAUUUGAAAACUUUUUCAAAACAAAAUAAUAAUAAAAAUUCUUACAAUUGAAAAAAUAUAUAUAAUUUAAAAUUUUUAUAAAUAUUUUGAAUUUUAAAAAUUAUUUUGAAAUAUUAGCAGGUAAGCAUUAGUCUAAUUAAGCAUUAGUCUUUCUAAUUUGAAAAGAUAGUUGUUGAAAAAUAAAUUUCUCUAUCAUAUCCUACUUGUAGCAUUGACAUUCAUUUUCCAUAUUCUAUUGUAAUUUUAUGUUUCAUUUAGCAAUGCAGGACAUGGAAUAUCCAGUCAGGAGGUACGUUAUCUUUGAGGAAAAUGGUAAUUAGUUCCUUAUGACUACAAGCAUUUUUCAAUCACGUUUUAUGCUUUAGGUCCGGGUGUAAAGGGUGAACUCGUUGGUCCGGGUUUUAGUGCAGCUUGACACUUGUUUUUAUAUUAGUCUAUUUAUCCUUUCAAUGACAGUCUUAUUACAUUAAAAAUUAUCGUUCAAUUAAGCUUUGUAUGUAAUAAUAUGAUAAUAAUAAUUAAAAUAUAAUGAAAGAAUUUUUGUGUUACAAUCUAGUAUGUUUUUAUAUUAGUCUAUUUAUCCUUUCAAUGAUAGUCUUAUUACGUUAAAAAUUACUGUUCAAUUACACUUUGUAUGUAAUAAUAUGAUAAUAAUAAUUAAAAUAUAAUGAAAGAAUUUUUGUGUUACAAUCUAGUAUGUUUUCCAAUGUUAGCCAAAGUCCAACACUAUGUCACACUAUUAUUACAAUGUACACAUACUUUUUAGGGAAAUUUAUCCAAUGAAACAGAGCAUUAAACUAGUUUCCCAGAUGCAGGGAAGAAUUGGAAUGCCACAAUACUAUGAAAAUGAUUAAGAAAAAUACUAAUAACAAAAAAAAAAAAAUGGUAAUGGAAUCACAGUAAUUGAAAUGACGAAGAAGGGUGUUUACCUGGAUUAUCAGCGACGAAUCUAAUGGUUGCCCAUCCAUUCACAGGCACUCCAACAGUGUUCCUCACAGGUGGAUCAACAAGGCUGAAUUUAGAAAUAUCCUUUUUAGGAUCGAAGUUCUUUAAACGUUGUGCAAUGAUAUAGAAAUCGUAUACAUGAAGAUGAAUUGGAUGAUUCUCGGGUGUCACUAUGCUUUUGUCUUGGAGCACAAUUUUGUACCCUAAAAAUGUUGGUAUGGGUUAGAGGUGAGAGAGGUGACUGAGAUGAAGAUGAUGAUGUUGAUGCUGAUGCUGAUGUGGUUGGUGGUGGCAAUGAUGAAGGUGAGUGAAGAAUGUUCAGUGAUGGAGGAUGCCUCCAGAGUGCUGGGAGCCGAAAGUGUUAGAAGAAAAAUGGUGGAAAAAGAGCCCCCGGUUAGAAGCUUUGCUACAAUUAAAAUUGAGUUAAAUUGAAUUUACCACAAAAUGCUGAUUUGUAUCCCGAUAAAAUUUGGUGUCUACGUAAAAAAAAAAUUAAAAUAUAAUGAAAGAAAUGAUGCCUUGCAAUGUGGUGUGCUUUUUAGUGUUAGUAAACAAUCUAAAACACUAGAAAAUUGGAAGUGACUUUAGAUUUAAAAAAGAAAAAAAAUCCAUAUUUUAGAUUAAAAAAGAAAUUCCUUUACUUUUUUAUGAAUUGACUAAAAUGAAGUGGUAGAAACAUUAUUUUCAUGCAGUAGUGAUCGGGAUAAGAUUAAGAUUAAUAAUAUUUUAUUCUUAUACUAAGACUUAGAAAUUUGCUUGCAAUGCCAAAUAUUAAAACUAAGACUAAGGCCAACAAUAUAUUUUACUAUUAUUUAGUUAAAAGUUUUUGAAGUUUAGAGAUAAAUUUAGAAUGCAACAUAUAAUUUGGGGUGUUAAAUUUAAUUAAACCCUUUAAUAGAUCAUAGCAUAUUUAUAAGUUUGGUACUGCUUCAUAAAUUAGGACAUAAAAGUACUCAUUAAUAAAUUAAUUUCGUAUAUAAAUUAAUUCUUUUGGGUGUUAUACCAAAUUUAAUUUAAAAUUUUUAAUAGUAAUUUUUAUUAAAAAUUAAAUUAUGUAAGAAUAAUUAUAUAUAAUCUAUAUACCUAUAUAUAAAAAUUGGUUUCCACCUUCUUUCUUUUUAAUUUACAUUUUACAAAAAAAAUUAAAAUUAAAAUUUAGUUUCUUUAAUAUGCCUAAAUUUGAGAUUUAAUCUAUACUUUAUUCUUUAACAUAAUUUAGGCACUAUAUUUUUAUAAUGUAAUAGAUUAGUCCUUACACGUGGCACAUCCAACCAUUUUUGCUGUCCUUUCCUUUAUCCUUUUUUUUUUAAUUUUACAAUAAAAUGUUAAAUUUCAGUUUCAAUCCCUCUAAUAUGUCUAAAUUUGAGAUUUAAUCUAUAUACUUUAAUCUUUAACAUAAUUUGGGCCCUACAUCUUUAAAUGUUAUUAAUUAGUCCAAAUUAUUAAUAUGAUUAACUUUUCGGUGAAACAUUACGUGGUUAUUGAUAGUUUGCAUACAUAAGAGUCUUAGAGACUGACACAUUACUUUCCAUUUCUUUUAGGUUUGCAUCACUUUUUUGUAAGCUAUACUAAAACUUAAUAUUUAAUCUAUAUAUUUAAUUUUUGAUAUAAUUUAGUUCAUCUACUUUUAUAAUGUAAUUAGCUAGUCAAAAUAGUUAAUGUUGUUGGUUAUUUCUAUCAACAUGCUAAUGUCAAUUUUUCUUAAAAACAAUAUGCUUCUGAUAGGAUUUUUUUUAUCGCGGCGAUGUGAAUGAGUGUUGUUAAGGAAAAGUCUUUAUAAAAUAUUUUAAAAGUUAUUUUUAUUGUUACAUGACUACCAAUUGAUUUUUUUUUUAAAUUUCAAAAUAUCACCUCAGAGAAUUUAAUAGAAGAAUUUUAAUGAUAGUAUAAUUGAAUCAAAAAUUUUAAAUUUUAAAAGUAGAAAAUCAUAUUUCUAAAAAUAAAAAUAGAGAAGCUAAAUUCUAAAUGUACAAAAUAGAGAGAAUUAAAAUAUAUUUUAACCUUCAAAUAUUUUACUCUAUAAUUAUAUAUUUUUACUCUAUAAUUCUCACUUCCACUUUAUCUUUGUUAAUUUCCUACUUAUUUCUAUUUUUUAUUUUGCUUAUGAAUCUAAACAGAGAAAAAAAAAGGACAAAAAAAAGAAAGAAAUGAAUAGUAUGAAUUAAAAUUUGAGAUUUGAUCCCUAUUAAAAAUUAAAAAUUUAUUGUUUCUAUUUUUUUAAUUUAAAAAUCAUAGAUAAAUCCUUCUACACGUAAUUUAAAAUUUUUGUGCAUUCAAUCAUCAGAAUUUCCACUCCUUGUGUCCAUCGGUUCAUCUCAAAUCACCUAAGAAACUUGCUAUAAUUUGUCUUUAUAAUGACUUAAACAAAUCGGUUGAACAUUGAUUUCAUGCAGUAGUGGUCCACCAAGAAGACUUAGGGUAGUUUUGGAUAGGUGGUGUAUUUAUUUGCUGUUAGUCUAAAAACAACGGUGACGGUAAGAUUAGAUACUAUAAUGAUACUGUAACAUGAGAUAAAAAAUAAGCUAAACGCACCGCACCGCCCAUCCAAAUCCACCCUUAGACAUUAACAUGCAUGCCAAAACAAUUAAGACUAAGGCUAAUAAAAUCUCAUAUUAUCAUUUUCUUUGUUAGUCCAAAAUAAAAAAAUAUUAAAAAAAUUUAAGUUAGACAAUUAUUGAUAAUUUAAGGACUUAAUUGAAAUAUUUUAAAAUUUAGGUAUUAAUUUAUAAUUUAAUCCAUUAUUCAGGGGAAAAGAUCAGAACCUUGGAAUAUUAUUCAUAUAGAAUAAAGAUGCAGAAAAAAGAAUGGUCUUCAUUUCUUUCGUUCUUUAUCAUUUUAAUUAACUUUAAGGAAGCUUCAAAGUAAAAAUUUAAAUAUGUUUCUUCCCAAGAAAUUAUAUUAACAACUUAAUGUAAAUAAUGAUUUGAAUAUUGGAAUUAAAUAUUAAGUAAAAUAAUAAUGUUGUAUUGAAACUACAAAUUUAUGUAUAAAUGUGUUGCAUGAAAACCAUCCUCCUUCAUACCCAAUCAACAUGAAGACUCUUCAGUCCAUUGCUUCACUUUUUCUACCUUUCUUCUUUCUCUUCUCAUCCUUUCUUUCUCAAACUCAUCUCCUAAUGCAGUGCCUUAAUAAAUAAGUUGUAUGCCAAACACAAUCCUCCUUCACACCCAUCCAACAUGAACACUUUUCGUUUCCUUAUUUCACUAUUUCUCUUCUCAUGCUUCUUUCCUCCUCUCUUGUCUUUUUUACCUCUUCAAACUAAUCUCCCAAAUGCUGCAAUUGCAACAUCAUCUUUACUAUGCCCCUAAUUUUACUUUCUCUUCCAAAUUUGAGCUCUGUGAUGUCAACACUGAUUGUUGUUCUUGGGAAGGAGUCACUUGUGAUGCUUAUGGUCAUGUCGUUGGCAUUGAUCUUAGUUACAAAAACCUUUCCAGUAUCUUCCACUCAAUAUUCGAUCUCCAUCAUCUUCAACACCUGAAUCUUGUUGAAAAUAACUUUAAUACCACUUUGCAUUCUUAUGGGUUUGUGUUAAAGUUGGCCUGCAUGCAGCCAAGAAGCAGAGAAGCAACCCGAGCCAUGAAUGUUGCAGUUGAAGAUGGUGCUGCUGUUUUUGUUUAGUUUUGUUACUUUAAUUAACAUUUUGUAACUUAGUUAGAUUCAAACCAAGUUGUUAAUGUACUUGAUGUAAUUUGUCAAUGCUUUGAGCUGAUAAAUUAGCUUCACUAAGUGUGCAAGUUAUGUUUCAUUAGUUUCAAGGUUACUUAGUGGUAGUAGGUAAUGUUUAGGUAACAAUUUACUUAUUUUUAACUAGCUUAUGUCUGGUAUAUGUAUUGGCAUUAUGCCAUCUUUCAAUGUUAAUGAAAAUUCAUCAAAAUUCAUCAUAAAAUUCCCUUUUCUUGCUUUCUUUUGUCUUUCAAGCCUGGUUAUAUUUUGUUUGCUCAGCAAGUAUCGAGCCUUCAAGCUCAAGAAACUGCUAACUUCAUUCAUUUCACAUUCUUAGUUCCAACAAUUGGUAUCUAGAGCUCAUCUUCUAAGUGGACAUGUCAUUUUUCAUUCCUCAAAACUAUGUCUUCUUCAGGUUCUCUCCAGCUGCACCAACAGUCUUCAAUGGAGAAUGCUACCACAUUUGGGUAGUAAAGAUGAAAACCUACUUGCAGGCAUUCAACUUAUGGGAAGUGGUUAACUCGGAUGUUGAACCAGCACCUCUAAGAGUCAAUCCCACAGUGGCUCAGAUCAGGCAGCACAUAGAUGAAAGAACUAAGAGAUACAAGGCCAUGUCUUGCAUCCAAAACAGUGUGUCUGAUGUGAUUUUCACAAGUAUCAUGGUUUGUGAGUCACCAAAACUGGCCUGGGAUAGGCUGAAGGAGGAGUUUCAAGGGACUGAAAGAACGAGAUAGCAAAAAUUAGUGAAUUUGAUAAGGGACUUUGAAAUUUUGAAGAUGAAGGAAGAAGAAAUAGUGAGGCAAUAUUCAGAUAGAAUCAUGGUUGUUGUGAACAGCAUCAAAUUGCUUGGGGACCAGUUUAGUGAAGCAAGAAUUAUAUAGAAGGUUAUCUCAACCUUGCCUGAAAGAUAUGAGGCCAAGAUCUCAUCCCUUGAAGACUCGAGAGAUCUGAUUAGCAUCUCAUUGACUAAGCUGAUCAAUGCUCUUUAUGCUUAAGAGCAAAGAAGAGCCAUCAAACAAGAAGAGCAUAAAAAAUGUGCAUUCCAAGCUAAAAGUAGAUUUACCUCGAGCUCCUCUAGCUAUAAAGGGAAGAAGACCUAGCAAGAAUGCCUAAAAGAGAUGGAGUAAGAAGAAGAUAUCCACCUUGCCCACAUUACAAAAAGCUUAGUCAUCAGGGAGAAAACUGUUGGUUCAGGUUUGAUGUGCAGUGCAAAGUCUGCAAAAAGAUGGGUCAUGCUGAGAAAGUUUGCAGAAACAAAGGCAAGCUGAGACGAAACCAACCUCAAUAGCCAAGAGCUAAAUCUCAAAUGGCAGAAGAAGGUAAUGACUAAGAAGAGUAAGUCUUUGUUGUUUCAUGCUCAGCUGCCAAAAGAAAAGCCACAAAAGAAUGGCUGAUAGACAGUGGUUGCACAAACCACAUGACUCCUAAUGCUGCUAUUUUCAAGACCUUAGACAGAACCUUCAACACAAGGGUGAAAGUUGGUAAUGGACACUUCAUCAAAGUAGAAGGCAAAGGAGAUGUGCUGAUUAACACUCCUACAAGUAUCAAACUUGUUUCAAAUCUUUUGUUUGUGCUUGAAAUUGACAGAAAUCUACUUAGUAUAGCUCAGUUGCUAGAAAAGGACUAUUCAAUAGUGCUCAAAGGCAAAGAAUGCCUGAUCAGUGAUCCAUAUAGAUCGAAACUCAUGUCAGUGACCAUGGCUGACAGAAGUUUUGUUAUGGACUGGAACAAGGGUUCAGACAGUGCCUAUACAGCUGCUUUGGAUGAAUCCAAGCUGUGGCAUAAAAGGCUAGGCCAUGUCAACUACAAGUCACUGGCUCAGCUAACCAAAGAAGACUUGGUUGAAAACUUCUCCAAAUUAGUUGAGAAAGAAGAAGUGUAUGAAGUGUGUCAGCUAGGAAAGUGAGCUAGACUGCCAUUUCCUUUGAACAAGGCUAAGAGAGCCUCUGAAAAGUUGCAACUAGUCCACACUGAUGUGUGUGGCCAUAUGAAGACACAAUCUUUGAAUGACAGCAGGUAUUUUAUCCUUUUCAUUGAUGACUACUCAAGAUAUUAUUGGAUUUACUUCCUAAAGGACAAAUCAGAAGUAGCCUUAAUAUUCUGGAAGUUCAAGGCUGUAGUAGAAACAGAAACAGGUUACAAGCUAAAGACAUUAAGGUCAGAUAAUGGGACAGAGUAUACCUCAACUAUGUUUCAGGGCUUUUGUGAUGAAGCAAGCAUCAAGCACCAAUUCACCAACACCUACACACCUCAACAGGAUGGUGUUAGUGAAAGAAAGAAUAGAAGCUUGAUGGAUAGGGCAAGAUGUCUGUUGUUUGAGAGAAAUUUGCCCAAAACCUUGUGGGUUGAGGUAGUUAACACUGUUGUAUAUCUUCAAAAUAGGUUACCAACCAAGGCAUUGGUUCAUAAAACUCUAUUCGAGGCCUAGUUUAGGUUCAAACCAUCAGUUGCUUACCUGAGGGUCUUUGGAUGCAUAUGCUAUGCACAUGUCCCGGAAGUAAAAAGAGAUAAGUUGGCCAAGAAGGCUCAACCUGGCAUCCUGGUGGGCUAUAGCAGUGUCAAGAAAGGCUAUAGGGUCUUGGCCCCUUCAUCCAAUAAAGUUUUUGUGAGCAAAGAUGUAGUAUUUGAUGAGAAGUGAGGCCGGAACUGGGAUAAAAAUAAACCAGAGACUGCUACUGAAGACCUGGUGACAAAUCAAACUGAAGCUGAUCGAAAUGAUCCUAAAAUGGGCAUUGAUGAUGUGCCAGUUAGAGGAACCAGACCAUUGGCUAAAAUAUAUGAGAGGGCUGAUGUGGCUGCUAUUAAACCAAAUUGCUUUGAAGAGGCUGAAGCUCAACAAGGUUGGAAACAUGCAAUGCUUGAUGAAAUGAGCAUGAUUCACAAGAAUAAGACCUGGGAGCUCGUUGCAAGACCAGCCAACAAGAAGGUUAUAGGAGUGAAGUGGGUGUUUCGAGCCAAGCAUAAAGCUGAUGGAACUUUGAACAAGCUGAAAGCAAGAUUAGUAGUGAAGGGAUUCAGUCAAAGGUAUGGCAUUGAUUAACUUGAAACAUUUGCACCUGUGGCCAAGUUUGACACAAUUAGACUGCUGGUUGCCUUGGCUGCACUGAAUCAUUGGAAGAUUCAUCAACUCGAUGUAAAAUCUGCCUUCCUCAAUGGUUUUCUUGAUGAUGAGAUAUAUGUUGAACAAUCUGAAGGUUUCAUAAAAAAAUAUUAUAGUUUUUACAUAAUAUAAAUUUUAGAAUUUUUAUGAAUAUUUUGAUUUUAAAAAUUAUUUAAUUUUUUUUGUAAUUUUUGUUAAGAGAGAUUAAUUUGUUAAUUUUUAAAAUUGACAGGAAUCAAAGGAGUAUAUAUAUCAAUCUGUUGUUUGAAUUAUUUGAGUUAUUUAAAUUAUAAAAUUUAACUCAAAUCUCAAAUUAUUAAUAUUUUUAAUAAUAUAAAACAUUAAAAAUAUUAAAAUUAAAUAAAAAAAUUAAAUAAUAAUAUAGAAAUGAAAAUAUUUCUCAUGCUCUAAGAAAGUUUGAAAGCUGAAAUUUAAAUAUGUUUCUUUCAAAAGUGAAAAAUUCUAUAUAUUCUAUCAUCAAAAUUUCCACUCAUUGUGUCCAUCAAUUUAUAAGGUGACUUGACUUGUACACAUUGGUUGAACGUUGUUUUUGUGCAAUAAAAACUUGGACAUUUGCAUGCAAUGCCAAAGACUUAAGACUUAAAAGGUCUAUAAUAUUUCAUACUACCAUUUUUUCUGGUCCUAAAUUAAAGAUUUUAAAAAUUCCAAAUUAAAAUGUUACUCAUAAUUUGAGAACUUAAUUAAAGCAUUGUAAAGUUUAUGUGUCAAUUUAAAAUUCGAUGUAUAAUUUUGCGAUGUAAGGUGAAUUAACCCGUUUGAUAAAUCAUUACAUAUUUACAAGUUGGAUACUCAUUAACAAAUUGAUUUUAUAUUAUAAGUUAAAAUUUAUAUUUUUGGUGCUAUAACAAAAUUUACUUAAAAAAUUAAAUUGUAAUUUUUUUAUUUUAAAAAAAUUAAAUGAUGUAGAAAUAAUUAUAUAUAACAUAAAAAUGAUAAAAUUUACCUAAGUUUAAAAUAAUUUAAAGUUAAAAUAUUUGUAUCAUGGAUUUUUUUUUCUAAAAAGUCGAUACCUAAAAUAUAUAAUUUAAACUCAAAAUAUCGGUUGAAUUAUCAUCUUUGCGUAGUAAUGGUUCCAAUAGGGUUUAAAGUGCUAUAAUUUAAUCUUUUUUAAUGACUUAGAUUUAGACGAUUAUUUAUAUAGAGUAAGGAGUGGGCAAGAAAAUGACAACCUUGGCAUUAAUAAAUUAAUGAGAUCGAUAAAAUAUUAAAAUCUCGUUCUUGAAAAUUAAAAUUAACAAAAAAGAAAGACGUAAGGCAAAUUAAGUGUGGAUUUAACAACUUAUUUCUAAUACUAACAAUAAGUAAUUUAUGCAUCAUAAGUAAUUUAUGCAUCAUGACUAACAGCUUUAAAUAAUACUUGAUGGAGUCUUGAUUUGGCAAAAUGACUUAGAAAUUGCAUGCAAUGCCAAUCACUCAUAAACUGUAACGACCCAAAAUCCGUGGGCAGUGGAAAAGUAUACUAUCGGGCCUCUAUCUUAGUAAACCGAGUUAGUAAAUAAUUAUUAGGAGUAAGUAUGAGUUUAGUUGAGUGCUUAAUUAGGUAUUAAUUAGGUGAAUUUAGUCUAAUUAAGAAUAAUUAGAAAAAAGGAUCAAAUCGAAUAAAGAGUGAAAGUCUAAUUAUAGAUUAAAAGAAAGUAAAAAGGACUAAAAUGAAAUUAAGCCAUUUACAUGAAAAGAGGCGACAUAUAUGCAUUAAAUCCAAGAUUUUAUUUAUAAAUAUUAUAUGUAUAUAAUUGUUAUAAUAAUUAUUAUUUAUUCAAAUUGUAAUUUAUAUUAAUUAUAUUAUUAUAUUAUAGAAUAAAUUAAAAUUAAGACAAGUGUUUGGUGAUAAGAUGGUACAAGUGUAAUAAUAUAUAUAUAUACACUUGUAUUAUAAUUAUUAUUUACUUAAAAUUUAAGUAAAAGAUAUUAAUUAAUUAAAUAAUUAUAUUAUUAGAUUUUUAUUUGAUAAACAAAUUAAAUAGUGACAAUUGUAUGAUAUUGAUGGUGUACAAAUGUGAAUAAAUGAUUGAAUAUUUAAUAGAUAUUUAGAAUAAAAUAUAUAUAUAUUAUUAUAAUAUAAAGUAAAUAAAAGAAAAUAAAAUAAAAGAAAGCAAAUGAAAUAAAAAGAAACAAAAGAAGAACAUAAUAGAAACAGAGAAAGAGACGAAAACAGGGGAAGAAAAGGGAAAGAAAAGAAAAGGGGAAAAUUGGGAUUUUAAAGCUUCAAGUUUAAUUGGUUAGCUAAAUUUAGCAUUUUUCUCUUAAUUUUGAUGUUUUAGAAGCUUUAAAACAAAGUUUUGUUGAAAUUAAGUUGAGGUUUUGGAAGUUUAUAAGUUUAGAGAGCAUGGUUCAUGUUGGACAAUUUGUUAAAUUAGGGAUUUAAUUGAAUGAAUUUCAAGUUAGAAUUGAUAAAAGGAUUAAAUUGUGAAGUAAGUUAUAAUUUUAUAUUGUAGGGACUAAAUUGAGGAAAAUUCAAAAUUAGAAAAAUAUGCUGAAAUUUUAAUAAUUAAAUUUGAGUUUGGAUGAAAUUUGAAUAGAAAAAGAGUGUGAAUUGAAUUAGAAAAGUAAGUAAACUUAGUUAAGAUUAAAUUUAGAAUAAGGUAAGAAUUGAUUAAAAAAUUAAUUAAUUAUUUUAAUUUAAUGUUGUAAUUAAUAGCGAAAAUUAUUAUUAUUUUCGUAGCUAACAAAGAACCCGAGACAUCGGCAUCAAAAGGAAAGGAGAAAGCUAUCGAGGAUUAAAUCGGGAGAUUUACGAUUUGUAUUACUAUAAUUCAAAUUAUUUAUUACUUAUUAUUAAAUUAAAAUUAUUUGUAUGGUAAGUGAAUAAUAAGGUAAGUGACUUAUUUAUAUUGAAUUUGGAAAAUUAAAUUGAAAUGAGAAAAGUAUGUUUCGGUAAUAAAUUGUGUUUUGAAUAGUGAAUGGAAAAGUAUAAUUGAGACCGAUACUGAACUGAAUUAUGAAAUACUGAAUAUUGUUUGAAUACUGAAUUGAACUGUGAAAUUACGGAAGUAAUGAAUUAUUGCAAUACUGUGAAACUGAUUGAAAUAAGGAAUUUUAAUUAAUACUAAACUAAAAUGGAAAUUAUACUGAAAAGUGAAUUAAAUACCCUAUUAACUAGUCGGGCUAGUCGGAUAUAGUUGGCAUGCCAUAGGAUAUGGAAGAGUACGGGGUAUUUGCUGGCUUACUGAUCAGGCACUUAUUGUAAUAACCCGAUUCUAGGCCUAGUCGGAGCAGUGGUUUCGAGACCACAAAUCCGACGAGGGAAAAAUUAUUAUAUUUUUAUGGUCUACAAUUUCAAGAAAAAUUGUUGUAAAAAUUUCGUUCGAAAAUUUUGACGUUUGGGCACUCAAUUUAAUCAAAAGGACUAAAUUGUAAAAAGUGCAAAAGUUGAGUUCUACAUCUUAGAGGUGUCUAAUUGUUAUGAAAUUUUAAAUUGAAGGUCUUUAUGUGGUAACUAGACCAUUAGUUAGUUGAUGGACAAAAAUGAGCAUAGAAUUAGUGAAAAAGAUUUUUUUAAGUAAGGGCAUUUUAGUCAUUUGGUAAUUAAAUAGAAUUAAAUGGGUGAAAGAUGACAAAAUAUGCUCAUCUUCUUCAUGGUGAAUGAAAUCAGUAAGGGGGAAAGCCAUAUUUAGGGUUUUUAAGCUUCCAAGCUCCAUAAUCAAGAAAGAUGUGAAGACCACCUUAAACGGGAAAAAGAAAAGGUCGAGGAGUAAAUCACAAAAUCAAAAUAUUUUGUUCCGAGGUAAGUAUGCAUGUGAUUUAAUGUAUUAUUUUAAUGUUAUUUUAUAUAUAUUGCUGGGAUUUGAUUGAAAAUGGAACGAAUACUCGAUAUAGACUCUAAAAUGUGGUUAAAUUGGAAGGUAGUAAAGCGUUGAAAAUCAAAGUUUCCGGUUGAACACUCGGAAUAAGCCGGGAUACAUUGAACAUAAAAGGGGGUUUCUAAGUGUUGAUUCCCCAAAUCAUCGGUGGUUGCUAAGUGCUGAUUCCACCGUGUCUUCGAAUAUGAAAGGGGUUGCUAAGUGCUGAUUCCCCAAAUCAUCGUGCUGAUUCUCCAAAUCAUUGGUGGUUGCUAAGUGUUGAUUCCACCGUAACGGAUUGUAUAAGGGGUUGCUAAGUGCUGAUUUCCCGAAUCAUUGGUGGUUGCUAAGUGCUGAUUCCACCAUAUUUUUGAAUGUGCAAAAGGAGGUUGCUAAGUGCUGAUUCCCCCAAGGGGUUGCUAAGUGCUAAUUCCCCGACUCACUUGUGGUUGCUACGUGCUGAAUCCACCAAAUAACGGUUAAUAUUCUGAGUGUUCAACAGGAAAAUUGGAAGGGUGAUUGAACAUGUAAAUUAAAUAUGAUUGUGUGGGGAAUAUUGGGUUUGAUAUUUAAUCAACCCAUGUGUAAGAUGAAUGGAAGUAUCAAAACUACAAAAGAGCAAGUUGGUCACAAACAGCUUAAAACAACAACAGUUGGGUAACUUGGAAAAUUCACCAUAAAUGGUGGAAUUUGAAUUAGAGGUUGGGUAAUAUAUGAAAUUGAAGCUGAAUGAGUCUAUUUUCAUAUGAAAGAAUCAUAGCAAGCAAAAGAGUUAUAUAUUUUGAAAUAUUUAAAUUUUAGUGAGACAGGGCUGAAUUGCUUUUGAGAUCCCCUGUUCCAACUUUGGAAAAUCACCAAAAAUUGUAAAAAAAUAAUUGUGGGUUGAAAUUUAUAUACUUAAAUUUCUUCAUUAAGUCUAUUUUCUGUAGAAAUAAACAAGAACCUUAUAUGAAUUUUGCACAGAGAGUAUAGAUUUUAGUAAAGGGUGGUCAGAGCUGUCGAGCAGUGAAAAGGGGAAGGUUUGAAGAAUAAAAUGUACUAAUUUCCAAAACCAAAAAUUCUGAAAAUUUUAUGGUAGAAAGGUAUAUGAGUAUAGUUUCAGAUAAAAUUUACAGAACUCAAUUUGGAGCUCUGUAGCUCCAGAUAAAAAUAAAUUAGUGACUGUGAUGCAGAAAAACAGGUUGCUGGAAAUUGAGCAAACAAUGAAAUUUAUGAAUGAUUAAAAUUAUAUCACUUUGUAAUAUUAUGAGAAAUUUAUUAAUUUUUCAUGUGGUUACUUACUAAGCUAUAUGCUUACUCUUCUUUAUUUUUCUCUUGAUUAUAGUGAUAACAAUCUGCCUGAAGUUGGACGAAGUCAGAAAUCAUCCACACUAUCGUCAUCUCUCGGGGUAUUUUGUAAUCAAUACUUUUGAAACAUGGCAUGUAUAGAUGACUUAAUUUAAUAUGAUAUAAAUAUGUUUGUAAAAUAUUGUUCGGUUAAAAAUGUUGGUGUUUAUUAUUGAAUAAAUUGUGUAUGCAUAUAUAAUACUGUAAUUGGUUGAAAUAUUAAGAUCGUUUGAAAUUGUUCUUUGAAAAUUUGCAGGAGGUUUUAUGUAAAAAUAAGCAGAAAUGCUGCCGAAAUUUUACAAAAAAAAAUAGUAAUACCUCGUGCUCUAUUCCAUCAAGGAAUACGGGUAAGGGGUGUUUCACUUAUGUGCCGACUACUGUUACUGUUACCGAUUCGGCACUUUGUGUGUCGAAUACUGUUACCAUUACUGUUACCGAUUCGGCACUUUGUGUGUCGAAUAUUGCUACUGUUACUGGUUACUGUUUAUUAGUGUGUUUGGUUGGAAUCCGUGUAUCCGCCGAGUCCGAGUUAAGUUAAUAGGGAUAAAUGAAAUAAAUUUACUGAUAAAACCAAUCUCGAAUGAUAUAGUAUAUGUGAAAAAUGAAAAUUGAAAUAAAGAAAUAAGAAUGAUAUUUAUAUAUAAGAUUAAUUGAUAAUAUAAAAAGAUCGAAUUGUUUAUUAGUAGUGAUGAUUGUAAUGAAAAAGUAUGUGUGUGAUUUAAUGUAUUUAAUUGUAAAUUGAAUUAUAGUGAUACCACUGAGUAUGAAAUACUCAGCGUACAGUUGUUUCUGUGCGCAGGUCGAUAGAAGUCAAAGGUUCCGUUUCAGCAUCCGAAGCCAGACCCGACUUCAGCAAAUUUUGGUGAUGAAUAUUUUCUUUGGUAAUGUGGCAUGUACAUAGGAUGGGUAUAAAAGUUAUUAUGUUUUGAAUAUAAAUGGUUAAAAAUGUUAGAAUUAUAAGUCUAAGAAUUAUAAUGAAAGAAGUUUAUCCAUUUCAAUUUAAUUAGUACGUUGAUAAAUUUAAAUUGAUAUUAUAUUGAUUGAGUUUGGUUAGAAGGUAUUUAGAAUAGAAUGAGAAUGUGAAAUGAAUUGGUUGAAUUGGUUAUGUUUGGAAAUGAUACAGUUUUAAUUGCAGGAGGUUUUAUGUAAAAAUAAGCAGAAGUGCUGUCGAAAUUUAUAAUAAUAAAAAAAAGAAAAAAAAAGAGAAAAAUUCGGAGUACUUAAACGAGUCCCAUUCAUUAUUAAUACAUGUUUUAGCCUUCGAAAGUUCAUUACAAGGACUUAGUUAUUCAAUUAUAUUACAAAUGUUAUUUUAUUUAUAAAUUAUUCGUAAGUUGUCUGAUAUGUUCGGUAAUGCCUCGUAAUCCUGUUCCGGUGACGGUUCGGGGUUAGAGGGUGUUACAUAAACAUUUUUCUAUGGAAAAUACACACUUGUGUAUAAAUAAGUCGUAUGCCAAACACAAUCCUCCUUCACACCCACCCAACAUGAACACUCUUCAUUCCCUUAUUUCACUCUUUCUCUUCUCAUGCUUCCUUCCUCUUCUCUUGUCUUUUUCACCUCCUCAAACUCAUCUCCCAAUGCAAUGCCUUGAUGACCAGAGAUCUCCUCUGCUGCAAUUGCAACAUCAUCUUUACUAUGCCCCUCAUUUUACUUUCUCUUCCAAAUUUGAGCUUUGGCACCCCAACACUGAUUGUUGCUCUUGGGAAGGAGUCACUUGUGAUGCUUAUGGUCAUGUCGUUGGCAUUGAUCUUAGUUACAAAAACCUUUCAGGCAGCUUUCACCCCAUAUUCAAUCUCCAUCGUCUUCAACGCCUUAAUCUUGUUGGAAACAACUUUAAUACCACUCUGUUUUCGUAUGGGUUUGAUAAACUCCAAAAUCUAACUCAUCUCAAUCUUUCAAGCUCAUGUUUCCAUGGCCAAAUUCCAGUGGAGAUCUCAUUCUUAAAAAAUUUAGUCUCUCUUGAUCUAUCCAAUCAAGAUUCUUGUUAUUUGAGAUAUUACAAAGUUCUUGUUGAAAGCUGGACUGCAAAGCAACAUGUGGCCAGCAGCAUGGUUGGCUGUCGAGCUUGGUGAUAAUGCUUGGUGUGCAAGACUGAAGCUGAACCAGAUGAAGCAAUCAACUUUGGAUGUUUUGUUCUUUUGUAAUUUAGUUUAGUUCAACUUUAACUAGUUUCCAAAGUUAGUUGGAUUAAGUUUGUGAUUGGAUUGAUGAUGUAAAAGCUGGUAUGUCAGCUUAUUUUGUAUUUGACUUAAGCUUGUAUUAGUUUAGUUUAAGUGGGAGCAGUUAUGUCAUUAGGUAACUGUCAAAUGAAUCAAAUUUGUAACUCUUUUAUAUAUUCAAAUUUUGAAUGAAAAAAAAAGGUGAAUGUUCAGUUACAAUUUGCUGAGUAUUCAAUUUUGUUCACUGUUUUUUGCUUUGCUUUGAUUUCUUUUGCUUCGAUACUUCUUGCUUCAGUUUUGCAAAUUCUGUUUUGCAACUUUGUUUUCUUUUUGCUGCUGCCAUUGUUCCAACAAAUGGUAUCAUGAGCCCGAGUCUUUGAGGGGCCUUUGUAUGCAAUCUGCAGCCACUUCAAUUAAAGAAUCCAAACUUCAAGACAUUAAUCAAGAAUUUGAGGUUUCUCACAGAGCUUUAUUUGGAUAGUGUGGACAUUUCAACUCAAAGUGCUAAAUGGUGUGAAACCACAUCUCUUAUACUUCCAAACCUGCAUGUGUUGAGUCUGUCAAGCUGUAGUUUGAAAGGUCCAUUAUGUUCUUCACUCUCAAGACUCUCUUUUCUUUCCAAACUUAUCCUUGAUUGGAACCCAAUCUCUUAUUUACCUCCCAAUUUCUUGGAAAUUUCCUCUCGUUUGGUUUCUCUCAGUUUGAGGAACUGCAAUUUGAGUGGCCAUUUUCCA